rnacentral:rRNA from 1 species
UUUAAUUUUCAUACUAGUAACGUUUUAUAUUUGUAUAUAAGUUAUACUAAUAUAAAUUUUAGUUGGGGCAACUGAGGAGUAAAAAAUAAUCUCCUUAUUAUACACCAAAAUGAUAAUUAGAUGAUCCUUUUAUAAAGAUUAAUAAAUAUAAUUAC